UACGAAGGGGGCUAGCGUUGCUCGGAAUCACUGGGCGUAAAGGGCGCGUAGGCGGACUCUUAAGUCAGGGGUGAAAGCCUGAGGCUCAACCUCAGAACUGCCUUUGAUACUGAGAGUCUCGAGACCGGUAGAGGUAAGUGGAACUGCGAGUGUAGAGGUGAAAUUCGUAGAUAUUCGCAAGAACACCAGUGGCGAAGGCGGCUCGCUGGGCCGGACCUGACGCUGAGACGCGAAGGCGUGGGGAGCGAACGGG
rnacentral:rRNA from 1 species